GCUGGAACAGGACCGAGAGCGGGUAUUCAACGAGCCAAAUAUGCGUGACCACGAAUCUCACUUAAACUAUUCAAUAAAGGAUUAAGGCAAUCGACUCAGCUCGUCGUCUAGAUCAAGAUGAUUGGAUAUGCUUUCUCAUCUCUUAUGAAUCUCAACGGGCUCCGGAUAAACACAAUUUAGCGAAUUUCGUAUAUCAUACUAGAAAAUUUCAGUGGGCAUGAAAAUCGAGCAAGGAGGAGGACAAUUAAACUAUUUAUAUCUUAUCAGACCUUUAUACAAAAACAAUCCAAAUGCGUGUUGGACAACAGUGGAAGGAGUUAGGAGAUUAAGCCUUGGCCUCAUGGACACAUAUCAAACUUUGUAGAGCAGCACACACACACACAGAGAUAGAGAGAAAGAUAGAGAGCAGCACAUCCAGCAAUGAAAAUGAUAAUACCAGCUAAGUGAAGCGCACAACUUGCCAAUUCAAAUCAUAACAAUUGGUGGCAACCGAAAGGUAAGGCCAGCGCAAUGACAACAAAUGGCGUGCCAAAAGAGCGGAUCUAAAAACAAGUGAAACUCAAAAAUGCCCGCGCACCGGACAGACAAUCAAAUAAAGUCACGCCGCUUUAACAUUUGCGGUUGCCGGCAGCAGACAGAAGGAUAUGCGUUUGGUGGACAAGGGGUUAAGUGAUGGACAGGUUGCAGCUGGGUAACUCGAUAUGCGCAGACAGGCAUACACACCCAAGCACUCGCACACACAUGGAUGCAGGCGAACAAACUUGCAAAGGCUGCAGGACAUGUACACGAAAUUAAUUUGCAACGAAGGGCACGAGGCGCGCGCUUUUAAUCCAACAUGAUAUCGCCCGCAAAAUGUAAAACGUAGAGCUGGCACCCAGCUGCUGAACCUGAACCUGAAUAUGCCCCAGCCCGCACCCAGUACCGCUCGCAACGACUGCAACAAAAAUCAGAAAGCGGAUUAAACGUAUUCGUGAGAAUUCGUCAACGAUUUCACACCUGUUCGACGGCCGCGCUUCGAGUGUGAGCUGUAGGCGUGGUCCGGCAUAAAAUGCCAAUUAGAAUCUCAAGCUCGCAGUCCGUUGGGCCGCGUCACUGUGACGCCUUCGGGCAAUAACAAUAGCAACAGCAUCCAGGGCGGCUCCUGCUCCUGCUCCUUGCCCACCCCGCUUGCCGGCAAC
rnacentral:sRNA from 1 species